UUAAGUUAUAAAAUACCAGUAGCAGCAUGGAAUUAUAGCACCACCUUGUGGUUAAAUGCCAAUAUUUUACCUUUUAGAAAAACAAGAGAUUUCCCUUCAAAUAAUAAUUUUUCCCUUUUGAAAAAUUCAAUUUUAAAAGGAAACAGUUUUGAAGUUUUCUUAUGGAAGUUAGAAGAAAAGUUGUCUCUUCUUUUAUUUUUUCUUUAUACAGUAUAGAUAUAUACACAAUGAAAUGACUUAAAACAUUUCUAGUGUGUAGACAGUGGGCAAAAGAUAAGUAUAUAUUGAAAAUAUAAAAUAUUUCAUAUAUAUUAUCAAGUGGAAAUUUGGAAUCCAAAUUUUCUUAAACUUCUCUCUAAUAACUUUUGUCUAACAACUAUCUAACGGACUAAUGAACUCAUAACACAUCAUACAUUUACACUUACAAAGAGUCUCUAUCUUGACAACAUGAUUUUUGGAAAAAUAAAGCAAAUUUGACUUUAUUGAAGUUAUUGAAGCAAUCAACAAAUUGUUAUUUUUAAAAGUUUUCUCUUUUAGGCAGUUUGGUUUGCAGUCUUAAACUAACCACUGUUGAUUAACUUUAGAAGGUGAAGCAGGGGAGUUCUGAAGAGAUUAUCUGGAGCUACAUAAUUAACGCUAAGUUAAAUUAAAUGUUCACUUUCAUUCUUUUCAUUCUCACAUAAGCUGGUUGAAAAACAUCAUACUACUGACAAAGGUGUCAGUAGCUUGUGCUGCCCUUUCUGUACUAUGCUCUGAAUAGGUCUAGGUAGAGAUAAUAUGGAAAUACUAUAAAGAAUACAUAAGGUAAAAUACCAGUCAGAAAGGGUUCAAAAGAAGUUAACAUCAACUAUGUGAAGAUUCUAGGUAAAGCUAAGAACUAUUGAGUUGGAAAAAAAUAGUGUCAUGUUUGUUUGUUUUCCUCUAUUUUUUUACAUAAUGUUGUAAUAUAUUCUUUUAAAAAUAAAACUUGAAAACGUUGGAACUUUGUUUCAUGCCAUUCAUUACUCAUAGCUUUAUAUAAUUGAUACACAUUUGGGGAAGCAUAAAUUUUUUUUUAAAAAAAGCCUCGUCAAUUUUAUAAACUACAGCGCUUUUUGAACCCAAAUAACCUUGUCACUUUGAUUUUUACUUUUUAACAAUUCCCCAGGUUUGUCUCCUUUCUUUGAAACUGAAGGACAUAAAAAAGGUGAAGUAGAGGUAAUGUAAAACAGUCAACUACAAAAUUAAAGCUUUAAUUGUGUCGGGCAGGUUUCUUAUACUACUCAGAGAAGAAACCUGGAAAAUCAGUACAGCACUGAUAGCAGUAGCACAUUCGGAACAUGCAUACUUACUUUUGAAGAGGAAAUUUUUUAAAAUUCAUAUUAGUUUUAUCAUGAUUUAUGUUUAUUUAUAAUAUUUGUGGGAAUUAGGACUAUAUAAGAAUAUAUGGUUUGGUUUUUGUUUUUUAUUCCUCAGCAAAGUCCACUAAAUUACUAGUAAAAGUUGGAUUUGAUUUUGCUUUUUAAUUGUUUGUGUAAAAUAUUAAUCUCAACAUUUUAAAAUUAAAAACAGAGUACUUAAUAAGCAUCUCAAAUGCAUAAAUUAUUUUAAUUUUACAUUAGGGAGAUGGGUAGUAAGAAGAAAAGUAGAGAAUCACAGGAAAGUUGAACAGUUGGGGAAUCAGAGUGAUGAGAAGGCUGAAUAUUUUAGAAUAGUUCCUAAUUUGUUUCAGUCCUUUGGUUCACUUAAAUCGUUAUGUACUUGGAGUGCAAAUCCUUUGUUUCAGUCCUUUGGUUCACCUAAGUUGUUAUGUACUUGGAGUGCAAAUCAUCUUAUUAAAUCAUGAGAUGUAGCUCUUCAAUUCGUUUGUUGUUGAAACCCUAAGAGGCACUUGUGACAAUGCAACAGAAUUUUGUAUGUGUUUCUUAUGUCUCUUGACCGUCCCUGUAGAUGGACUUUUGCAUUUUUCCAGUAAUGUUUGCCCCAGGUAGAUCGCCUUUCUGGGUCCUCCAACAACAGUAUUUCUAUUUUUGUUACCUUGUCUCUGAAACUUCUGAGGUUUUCUAAUACUAUGUAUAUUAGGAUAUUUAUGAAAAAAGGCUUUAAAGUAAACUUUGGAAUAGUUAUUUGUAAUUACAGUGAUAAAACUGUCAAUCUGAAUUAAAGAUUGAUCAUUUUUAGACCCAUGACUGGCUCACUUUUUUCUAUUUUUCCCAUUCCCCACUUUGAUGAGGAAGCAUUACCUUCUGUAAGUCCUCAUGAAGUGGAGGAUGUUUUGUUUGCGUGCCCUUUGCUAUUGUAUGGGAGGCAAAACUUUACCAUCUUAAGGUCUCUGACUAGGCCCGAUAAUUAAAUUGAUGUAAGGUAAAUUAGCAGGAGAAAAGCAAAUGGAUUUUCCAAUGUACGUGGGUGCUCCAUAGGAAAAUGAAGACCCAAAGAAGUUGCAAAACCUAAAUGCUUAUACAGUGGGUUGAAUGGAGAGUAGCAAUUGUGGAAAAGUAACUGUAUGAAAAGACUAAAGGAAGGUAAGAGUUAUUUUAACAAAGACCAUUUGUACGGAUUUUUCUCCACUUUAAUUCAUCUCUGGUAAUAAGAGUGUUUCUUCUUUCCUUGUACAGGGAGGGCAUCUUUCACAGGUAAGUUUUCUCUGCUUGGUGAUAAGAAUGUUUCUUUUUUCCUGGUGCAGGAGGGCAGUGUCUUUUUUUGCAUCUGCUGGUUUUCAAGUUCCUUUAGCUCAAAAUAAUCUUAUGCCAAAGUGGCAUAUUUUAUGGUGGCAUAUUCUGCCACACUUCACCAUCAAAAACAGUGUAUAGAAUCUCCCUCAAAGAUUACCACUGCUACUGCUGCUGCUGCUGCUACUGCUACUGCUACUAAUAAUCCAUCCCCUGCCUAAGCCCUAUCAUUUAUACUGUACUAUUCUUUAUCUUUUAUAUUAUUUCAUACAUUUAUCUCCUUUCUCAUGGCCACUGUAUUCAAGGUUUCUCAUUCUUUACUUGCACUAUUCACUGAUCUUGCCUCUCUCAAUGUAUCCAUGCCACUACCAAAGUGUGUGUGUGUAUAUAUUUGAAAUUGAUUAUGCCAUGUUGCUGCUAAAAAUGUAUCUUUGUGUUUCUUUUAUUCCUAAUGUGUAGAGCCCAGCUUCUUAUGCUGGACAGCAAAGAUCUUCUUUUUUUGAAGUCUUUCUUUCCAGUGUCAUCUUCUAUAACUCUAUAGAGAACCUAAAUACACAGAACUCUUAAAAUCUGCUUUCAGACACUCUUUCUUCUGUCUAGAAUGACUUUUCCUUUCAACUGGCAAGUUUCUGCUUAUCCUCAAAGACCCAGUACCUUUCUUGGAAAAGCUUUUCUCAACUGUAGAGUCCAAAUUAUCCACUUCUGUCUCUUUGCUGCUUUAGUGCCCUUUUCAUACAUUUGAUUUUUGUACCCACUUUAUUUAUAUGACUUUAAUUCUCAUUGGUCUUCCAGCUUUCAGUAUUUUUUCUAAUGUUCAUUUCUUCUAGUGCCUAUCAUUUAUUCAUUACAGACUAAAUGGUACUAAUAAUUAUUUGUUGACUAAAUGAAUAUCAAAUACAUUAUAAUUAGUGUUCCAGAUAAGCAAGGUUUUAUCAAGCUAGGGCCUGGUCAAUCAUAUUGUAUUUUUUCUAUGGAAGAAAUGUAUUGACAGAAGAAAAAUAUAAUCAUGAAUUCUAGCAAAGAGUUGACCAAAGAUGACUAGCUCAUUGAUAGGUUAAUGAAUACAUUUAGAAUGAAAGUUGAUUAAAGUGCCUACUAAUGCCAGUCAUUGUGCCCGGCACUGGAUAUAUGCAGAGAGAAAGAUAGAAAUGGUUCCUGUUCUUACCGAGCUAAUAGCUAAGUAGCAAAGACAAUUAAAUAAGCAAUAGCAAUGUGUAGUACUGUGAUAAGAGAAGAAUAAGGCAUUCCAAUGAGGCAUCAGAUAGAAGGAAAUAAUGGGAUUUGGAAUCAGGUAUCAAACUGAUAGCAUGGAAGGAAGUGAUAUUUAUCUUAAUUCCUAAAGGGUGAAUAGAGUACAGCCAGGGCAGAUGGUUUGAGCAAAAGGACUAGCGUAAACAAAGACUUAAAAGGAAGAGCAUUUGAAUUUGAAAGAGAUUCACUAGGACUAGCAUACUAAGUGUGCAGUGUGUGUGUGUGUGUGUGUGUGUGUGUGUGUGUGUGUCUAGAGGUCAGUUGACACAGGCCUAAGGGACAGCUUGUAUCUUAUUUACUGUAACAUUUAAACAGCAGAAUAUGAUAACCAGAUUUGAGUGUUUGAAGGAUUUAAUUUCCUGCUUUAAUAUGGAGAAUGGGUAAGGGGGUAAAACUAGAGGCAGAGAAACCAGUGGGAGGCUAUUACAGCAAUUGAAGAAACAUAUAGUAAGGGUGACUUGAAUUAUGAUGACAGUGGAGAUGGAGGGAAAUAAUGGGGUUUGGAGCAAAUGUAAUAUAAGGACUGUCUUCAAUUUAGUAUUUGCAUUAGGAGAUAGAAAGAUACUACACUAGUGUUUAAUCUGAUAUCUUGCCUAAUUGGUCCUCUUCUGGAAUCUUGUUAGAAAUGCAAAAUCUCAAGCCGUGCUCUUGACCUACUACAUCAGAUGGUGCAUUACACAAAGAACCCAAAGAAAUUUGUAGUUACCUUAAGUUCAAGAAACAUUAGUUUACAUUAACAUACUUCCUGUUUUAUUAUCAUAACUAACAUUUGAAUCUAAGCCUUCAAAUUCAGAUUUUCCUGAAUUGCUUUCAUCUAAGCAUAUACAGCUUUACAUAAUUCAUAUUCAGCAUCUUGGACUCCUUAGCACCUUUGGUUAGAGUUUUAGGGUUUUGAGUGCAUUUAGUUAAAUAAUUUUUUUUCCCGCAGUCAAAUGAUACACAAUUAUGAUUUAAAACAUUCUUUCUUCAAAAUUGGGUUUAAGCUUUGUACAAAUAACUUUUUUGGUCCUCAUCAAUAGUGAUUCUUUACUAAGCACGCACAAUUCCCACCAGUAUUCUCCAUCUUUGAAAUACCUGUGUUUAUGCUGAGAAAUUUUCUAGUUUUUUUCUUUAAAUUAUGUUGCCCAAAGUACAACAGGUAGUCUUCUGCCUACAUAUUUACUUUUCUGUAUUAUGUCACAGGGUGAGUUUUCUGAAGAUAUGGAAAGCAAUUAUGAGGGAUCCGUAUUUCACAUUUAAUUUAAAAUUCAGUGAUCUUACCAACUUUCUAAAAACCAUUUGUCAAGUACAACCCCAUUUGAGUACUAUUAAAAUGAAAGAGUAAAAAAUGCAUCUUAAGUUUAAGAAAAUACAAUAUUUAGAAAGCAGAUUCCAUAGAUGAAUUAGGUGCAAAGAGAGCGAGAGGAGAGGAAAACAGAAACUACUAAGAGUUCAUAAGCUUUACCCGAUCAGUGUGUGUCUUCCUUCAGAUUUGCCAUCUUCUGUUUUAGUAAGCUCUUGAUUUAUUGGGUGAGAAUCUGACUAGUGUUUUUAAAUUCUGAUCAUUGUUUGCCUUUUGAUAUUCAAACUAGGAGAUUUAAAACAACACUGCAGCUGAGAACUUUUAAAUGAACAUAAAUAACAAACAUCAAAAUGUUUAAAAUUUAUUUUUUCACAUUGCCAUGAGAAAGCAGAAAAAUGUUUAAAAUUUAAAAGCAUUUCAAUAUUCCAAUUAUCCUCUCACUUUUGCACCUUUUAAAAAAAUAAUCACUGUUCUCUGCCACCUUCAAUUUUUAUAUAUUGUUCUUUUUCACUUUCUGAAUGUGCUGGACUUUCCAUGACUUUACAAAUGCUGUUCCAUCACCUAAAAUGUUCACUAUUCUCAACUUUUCAUUUCCUGUCCUCUGGCUGAUGAUAGGAACCACAUAAGCUGAUGGAAUUCUACUCAUCCUAGGGGUUUCAGAUUAAACAUAAUUCCCUCCAAAUAAUGUUGCCUAGGUCCCUAGAAUAGGUUAGAUUCCCUGUUUAUGCUAUUAAAAGCAUCCUGUAAUUUUUAUUUUAUUUCAGCUUGUACAUUAUUAAACCUACUGUUUGCAAUUGUUGCUAAGGUUGUUCUCCCUGCUAAACUAUGAGUGUUACAUGAAAAGAGAUUCUGAAUUUUGUUUACUAAUAUAUCCUCCAUGCUUAGCACAAUGCUUGGUACAUAGGACAUUCUCAUUUUUUUUUUGUGGCUUGACAAACACUUAACACAUCCUCCCAUCCCCCAUAUUACAAUAGAAUUCAAAUUUUGUAGGCAGCCAUUACUGAUUUCUAAAUUCAAUAUCUCAAAUUAGUUCUAUUUUAAUCUAAAGUCACCUAUUUAUCAUUACACUACAUUUCUGUAUUUGGUAAUAUAUUUAAAUGUAGAAUAUACUAUGUAGCAUUAAUGCCCAAGUUGGUAACUUUUAAAAUAGUUUCUCUGUACUUUAAGUACUGGUAUUUUUGGAGCCUAACUAUGAGUUUUUCCUAAUAAAAAGGUGAGGAAAUAUGAACUAUGAUAUUUUUGAAAAUUUACUCAAAAAAGUAUACAGGUCUCAUUUAAAGCACUAAAAGGCAGCAAAUUUUUAGAGAAAAUGAAAUUUCUACUUGGAGAACUAUGGCAUACAAGGUAUUAAAAAAUGUAAAAAAACUCCUGUAACAAAUCAUCAAACAUUCUUGAAAAAGACAUAAUAAAUAUUUAUCAUAGCUAUCACAGGAAACUAAAAUAAAUCCCUGAAAGCCAAAAGAAGAGGAAGCAGAAAUUCAGAGUAUUAUGCUUGCUUGAAGCAGCAGCUUCCCUGAGACAUUGUUGAUAAUAGAAACCUAAGGCCUUUAGAGGUUUUCCCCCAUCAUAUUUUUUCAUCAGCCUUUAUUGUGUAAUAAUUUACAUACAAUAAAAUUAACCAAUUUAAGUCAUAUAUUCAUAUAACCACCACCUUAGGUAAGAUAUAGAACAUGCCUCUCUGCAGUCAUUCCCCUGAUACCAAACCAGGCAUGUUCUUGCCCAUCCUGCAAUAAGCCAAUCACUGAGACAGUAAGUUUUGCAGUAGAGGAAAGAUUUUAUUCAUGAGGCAUCCAAGUGAGGAGGUGGGAGAACACCCCUCAAAUUCUCCUCCUUGAAGUUAGGGUCUUAGGGAUAUUUAUGGGAUAAAGGAGCAAGGCAGUCCAAGGUAUGGAAAAAGGUGAUUGGUAGUAAGAAAAAGUGAGAUAAUUGCCAAUCUCUGCAAGUGCAGUUAAGCUUCAUUGCUUUUCAAAGGAUGCAUGUUCCCAAAAUGGUAUUAUUAGUACAAUCUGAGGGUGGAGUUUUGGGCCCUCUGAUGUCAAAAGGACAUUCAUUGGACAUUUAUACAGGCCAAUUGGAGGGUCAGUGGUAUCAGUCAGCUUGAGCUAGACAAGAGCUGAUCCUAAUUUCCUGAAAAACAAGCAACCAUUACUAUGGUGACUUGUACAUCAGAGAUGUUAUCUAUAAGGAAACCAGUGGAAGUUUAGUUACAUAUUGCUUAAUUGCAUGACUUUUAGCUAUGUAGGUUUUCAACUAGAAGCAAGCAACUACAAGCAAGGCAAGUUUCACCUUGUCCUUCGGCAACCACUGCUUUGCAUUCUGUCAUUUUAAUGUUGCUGUUGCUAGAGUUUUAUAUGAGUAUCAUCAUACCAUAUUUAGUCUUUGUGUCUGGCUUCUUCCAUGUAGCAUAAUGCUUCUGAGAUUCAUCUGUGUUGUUGUAUGUAGCAGUUCAUUCCUUUAUAUGGCCAGUAAGUAUUUCAGUGUGCUAACACAAUAAUUUCAUCAGUUGAUGGACAUUGUGAUAUGUCUACUUUGGAGGUAUUAAAUAUUAUAAAUAAAUCUGCUAUGAACAUUGGAAUAUGUGUCUCUGGAAACAUGUUUUUACUUCUCUUGGGUAAAUACCUAUGAGUGGGAUGGUUGGGUUGAAUAGUAGAGUUAUGUUUAAGUUCAUGAAAAACUGCCAAACUCUUUUCCAAAGUGGCUGGCCCAUUUGCUUUUCUCGCAAGCAAUGUAUGAGAGUUUCAGUUGCUCUGCAUCCUCACCAACGCUUGAUUUUUUCAGUUUUCUAGUGAAUGUGUGUGGUGUAAGGCCAAAAGUUAAGGCACAUUGCUAUAUACUGUCUUGAUAUCUGGUAAAACUGAGAGAGUCCCAAAUGGCCUAACCAGAGGAUUCCCCUCCCCACUCUCCUUCCAUUGGUAAAGUACCCUAGCCAAACAACCUCUCCUUAACAGAGGGACCAGACACCUACCCCUGAGUAGCAGAGUUUCAAUUCCAUGCCAGCUGUGAAAUUAUUCCAGGAAACCAAUCACAUUUUCCUGUGAGAACUAGGGAAUGUGUCACCCUCUUCAUAUUACAAAUUCUGCCUCCCACAUCUCUCAGCUGUCUUCUGUUCCCAAAUGCAACCUCCCUAGAGCAUGGAGUGUCCUCCCCUGCAAGCUAAUUUCCCUACAUGGAGUACUCCAUCCUCUUGUUCCAGUCUCAGCUGGCUGCUCCAUGGGCUACUUCAUAGCUUUCAUCACAGAGCUUUGCUUGGCCUCUCUCCUGUGUGUCAUCUCUGUUUCUUGGAUUCUGUGCUUUCAUUUUCCCACUGUACUCUGAUAUUUCAGUGAAGUUUAUCCACGAAGUCCAGAAUUCUGCCUGGAAACCAGCUUCCUCCUCAGCUGCAGCUCUUUUAAUGGGUACAUCCGAACUGAUGACUUCUCCUUCCUGCUGCAUAGUGGUUCCUGUACUGUGUGUUCUGGAGAGUUAUGGACCUCAAGAGUCGACAUAGGAUCUUAUGAGAUGAUGAAUGCUGCCGACACAAUAGCUGUUUUCUCCACUGAGUCCAAGUGCUUUUGCUUUUGAGUCCCUACUUCUUGAUGUCAGCAGUGAGCAUGAAGAACAGUUUCAAAAAAAAAAAAAAAAAA